AUUGAACGCUGGCGGCAGGCCUAACACAUGCAAGUCGAGCGGAGCGGCGGACGGGUGAGUAAUGCCUAGGAAUCUGCCUGGUAGUGGGGGAUAACGUCAGGAAACGGGCGCUAAUACCGCAUACUAGCAGAUGAGCCUAGGUCGGAUUAGCUAGUGGGGGGGGUAAAGGCCUACCAAGGCGACGAUACGUACCUGGUCUGAGAGGAUGAUCAGUCACACUGGGACUGAGACACGGCCCAGACUCCUACGGGAGGCAGCAGUGGGGAAUAUUGGACAAUGGGGGAAAGCCUGAUCCAGCCAUGCCGCGUGUGUGAAGAAGGUCUUCGGAUUGUAAAGCACUUUAAGUUGGGAGGCGUUACCAACAGAAUAAGCACCGGCUAACUUCGUGCCAGCAGCCGCGGUAAUUC
rnacentral:rRNA from 1 species